rnacentral:rRNA from 1 species
CCUCCGUCUGGUGCCCGCGUUCUCCGGCUUUCCUGGGUGUCCCGGGCGCGUCGCCGGCGUGGCACGUCUGAUGUGAAAACCCGGGGCUCAACCCCGGGACUGCAUUGGAAACUGUCAAUCUGGAGUACCGGAGAGGUAAGCGGAAUUCCUAGUGUAGCGGUGAAAUGCGUAGAUAUUAGGAGGAACACCAGUGGCGAAGGCGGCUUACUGGACGGUAACUGACGUUGAGGCUCGAAAGCGUGGGGAGCAAACAGG